rnacentral:snRNA from 1 species
GUGCUUACUUCAGUGGCACAUAUAAAAUUGGAAUGAUAGAGAUUACCAUGGCCCCUGUGAAAGAUGACAUGCAAAUUUGUGAAGCAUUCCAUAUUUUU